rnacentral:rRNA from 1 species
CCUACGGGUGGCAGCAGUGGGGAAUAUUGCACAAUGGGCGCAAGCCUGAUGCAGCCAUGCCGCGUGUGUGAAGAAGGCCUUCGGGUUGUAAAGCACUUUCAGCGGGGAGGAAGGCGGUGAGGUUAAUAACCUCAUCGAUUGACGUUACCCGCAGAAGAAGCACCGGCUAACUCCGUGCCAGCAGCCGCGGUAAUACGGAGGGUGCAAGCGUUAAUCAGAAUUACUGGGCGUAAAGCGCACGCAGGCGGUCUGUCAAGUCGGAUGUGAAAUCCCCGGGCUCAACCUGGGAACUGCAUUCGAAACUGGCAGGCUAGAGUCUUGUAGAGGGGGGUAGAAUUCCAGGUGUAGCGGUGAAAUGCGUAGAGAUCUGGAGGAAUACCGGUGGCGAAGGCGGCCCCUGGACAAAGACUGACGCUCAGGUGCGAAAGCGUGGGGAGCAAACAGGAUUAGAUACCCUUGUAGUC